UGUGCAUAGCAGUAUUAGAAAGUUAAACGCA
rnacentral:piRNA from 1 species